rnacentral:rRNA from 1 species
CUCGUAGGCGGUUUGUCGCGUCGGGAGUGAAAACCCAGGGCUUAACUCUGGGCUUGCUUUCGAUACGGGCAGACUAGAGGCAUGCAGGGGAGAACGGAAUUCCUGGUGUAGCGGUGAAAUGCGCAGAUAUCAGGAGGAACACCGGUGGCGAAGGCGGUUCUCUGGGCAUGUCCUGACGCUGAGGAGCGAAAGUGUGGGGAGCGAACA